rnacentral:rRNA from 1 species
AUGGCCAAGCUGGAAAGGGCACAUGGUGGAUGCCUUGGCAUCGGAAGGCGAUGAAGGACGUGGCUAACUGCGAUAAGCCUCGGUGAGCCGUAAGCAGGCUUUGACCCGGGGAUUUCCGAAUGGGGAAACCCGGCACGGGUAAUGCCGUGUCAUCUCUUGGCUGAACACAUAGGCCUCGAGAAGCAAACGCAGGGAAGUGAAACAUCUCAGUACCUGCAGGAAAAGAAAGCAACUGCGACUCCGUUAGUAGCGGCGAGCGAAAGCGGAAUAGCCUAAACCGACGUUUGUGUAAGCCUGUGAGCGUUGCAGCGUCGGGGUCGUGGGGUCUGCUGUUCUGGAUCACAGUCCAGAGGAAGAGUUAACAAGUAGGGACCUAGUAGAACAGGCUGGAACGCCUGGCCAUAGAGGGUGACAGCCCCGUAUGCGAAAGGUCGCCUGCCUCUUCUGGCAGCGCCCCGAGUACGGCGGAACACGUGAAAUUCCGUCGGAAUUUGCGAGGACCAUCUCGUAAGGCUAAGUACUAUCCGAUGACCGAUAGCGCACAAGUACCGUGAGGGAAAGUUGAAAAGAACCCCGGUAAGGGGAGUGAAAUAGAACCUGAAACCAUGUGUCUACAAACAGUGGAAGGACGUUGGCCGACUUCGGUCGGUACUGUCCGACCGCGUACCUUUUGCUUAAUGGGCUGGCUAGUUACUCUGUGCAGCGAGGUUAAGCUUUUAGGCGAGCCGGAGGGAAACCGAGUCUUAAUAGGGCGUUCAGUUGUGCGGAGUAGACGCGAAGCCUGGUGAUCUAUCCUUGGGCAGGGUGAAGCGUGGGUAAAACCACGUGGAGGCCCGAACCAGUGUCGGUUGAAAACGGCUUGGAUGACCUGGGGAUAGGGGUGAAAGGCCAAUCAAACCAGGGGAUAGCUCGUUCUCUCCGAAAUAGCUUUAGGGCUAGCCUCGAUCGUUGGUCCGCGGGGGUAGAGCACUGGAUGGGCUAGGGGGCUCAACCGCUUACCGAACCCAACCAAACUCCGAAUACCGCGCAACUAAGAUCGGGAGUCAGACUGCGGGGGAUAAGCUUCGUGGUCGAAAGGGAAACAGCCCAGAUCGUCAGCUAAGGUCCCUAAGUGCAAGCUAAGUGGGAAAGGAUGUCCAGAUGCAUAGACAGCCGGGAGGUUGGCUUAGAAGCAGCCACCCUUUAAAGAAAGCGUAACAGCUCACCGGUCGAGUGAAUGGGUGCCGAAAAUUCACCGGGGCUCAAGCUUGCCACCGACGCUACGGGUCACAGUGAACUCCGGUUCACUAUGGCGGUAGGAGAGCGUUCCACAUUGGUUGAAGUCAGAUCGACAAGAACUGGUGGACGAUGUGGAAGUGAGACUGCCAGCACGAGUAGCGAUAAAGAGGGUGAGAACCCCUCUCGCCGUAAGUCUAAGGUUUCCUGAGGAAGGUCAGUCCGCUCAGGGUUAGGCGGCCCCUUAGUCGAGGACGAAGGUCGUAGACGAAGGGAAGCCGGUCAAUAUUCCGGCCCCGCCUGGUUCACGUUUGACCGAAGGGGGGACGCAGGAGGAUAGCUCAGCCCGCGACUGGAAGUGCGGGUUGUAAAUGUGUAGUCGGGAGGUCCAGGCAAAUCCGGACCUCUACUCCAAACGAUGAGACAUGACACCGAGAUCUUUGGAUCGCAAAGUGAGUGAUUCCACGCUGCCAAGAAAAGCCUCGUAGGGAGUGAAUUAGGUGACCGUACCGCAAACCGACACAGGUAGACGGGCAGAGUAUGCUAAGGCGCACGAAUUAUUUCUGGCUAAGGAACUCGGCAAAUUGGCCCCGUAACUUCGGGAGAAGGGGCGCCCCCAAUGGUGAAGGACUUCGCGUCCGGAGCUGAGGGGGGCCGCAGUAACCAGGCCCAGGCGACUGUUUACUAAAAACACAGGUCUCUGCAAAGUCGAAGUCGACGUAUAGGGACUGACGCCUGCCCGGUGCCGGAAGGUUAAAGGGAAUUGUUAGCACUUCGGUGCGAAGCUCUGAACUGAAGCCCCGGUAAACGGCGGCCGUAACUAUAACGGUCCUAAGGUAGCGAAAUUCCUUGUCGGGUAAGUUCCGACCCGCACGAAUGGCGCAACGACCUGGGCACUGUCUCGGCCAGAAGUUCGGCGAAACUGAAGCACCGGUGAAGAUGCCGGUUACCCGCGGCAGGACAGAAAGACCCCGGCACCUUUACUACAGCUUAGUACUGGGUUUGGAUCUGUGGUGUGCAGGAUAGGUGGGAGGCUUUGAACUUGGGUCGCUAGACUCGGGGGAGCCAAUGGUGAGAUACCACCCUCCUCAUAUCGAAACUCUAACCCACGUCCGUAAUCCGGAUGGGGGACAGUGCUUGGUGGGUAGUUUAACUGGGGCGGUUGCCUCCUAAAGAGUAACGGAGGCGCCCAAAGGUUCCCUCAGGCUGUUUGGAAAUCAGCCGAAGAGCGCAAAGGCAUAAGGGAGCUUGACUGCAACACCUACAAGUGGAGCAGGUGCGAAAGCAGGGCUUAGUGAUCCGGCGGUUCCGCAUGGAAGGGCCGUCGCUCAACGAAUAAAAGGUACGCCGGGGAUAACAGGCUUAUCUCCCCCAAGAGUUCACAUCGACGGGGAGGUUUGGCACCUCGAUGUCGGCUCAUCGCAUCCUGGGGCUGAAGUCGGUCCCAAGGGUUGGGCUGUUCGCCCAUUAAAGCGGUACGCGAGCUGGGUUUAGAACGUCGUGAGACAGUUCGGUCCUUAUCCGCCGUGGGCGCAGGAGAUUUGAGGGAUGCCACCCCUAGUACGAGAGGACCGGGGUGGCUGGGGCUCUCGUGUAUCAGUUGUUCCGCCAGGAGCACCGCUGAGUAGCGAUCCCCGGAGUGGAUAACCGCUGAAAGCAUCUAAGCGGGAAGCCCGCCCCAAGAUUAGAUCUCCCGGGGAGUUAAUCCCCCUGAAGGGCCCUACGAGACUAGUAGGUUGAUAGGCUGCAGGUGUAAGCACAGCAAUGUGUUCAGCCGAGCAGUACUAAUCGCCCGUGAGGCUUGGCCAU